rnacentral:lncRNA from 1 species
GAUAAAUAUAUUGAAUAUUGUUUUUAGAUCUCAAUUUUUUUUUUUUACAUGUUUUAGUCCCUUUAAUGAUAAAAACUAAACUGCCAUAAAUGAGAAUCCUGCAUUUUUCAAUAAUAAUUUGGUUCAAUGACUAAAUCACCCUUUGUAAAUGAUACCAUCAAUUCUAUAAUAUUUUCCAACAAUAUUAAUUUAAUCAGGCCACCUCAGCUGUAAAUCACUACCAUUCAAUUAAAUAAACUACAUCCUAAGGUCCAUAUCCAUU